AGAUUUGAUCCUGGCUCAGAUUGAACGCUGGCGGCAGGCCUAACACAUGCAAGUCGAGCGGAUGAUGGGAGCUUGCUCCUGGAUUCAGCGGCGGACGGGUGAGUAAUGCCUAGGAAUCUGCCUGGUAGUGGGGGACAACGUUUCGAAAGGAACGCUAAUACCGCAUACGUCCUACGGGAGAAAGCAGGGGACCUUCGGGCCUUGCGCUAUCAGAUGAGCCUAGGUCGGAUUAGCUUGUUGGUGAGGUAAUGGCUCACCAAGGCGACGAUCCGUAACUGGUCUGAGAGGAUGAUCAGUCACACUGGAACUGAGACACGGUCCAGACUCCUACGGGAGGCAGCAGUGGGGAAUAUUGGACAAUGGGCGAAAGCCUGAUCCAGCCAUGCCGCGUGUGUGAAGAAGGUCUUCGGAUUGUAAAGCACUUUAAGUUGGGAGGAAGGGUUGUAGAUUAAUACUCUGCAAUUUUGACGUUACCGACAGAAUAAGCACCGGCAANUUGC
rnacentral:rRNA from 1 species